rnacentral:lncRNA from 1 species
GGCAUCUGUUAACUGAAACCUAAUAAUUUUUCAUGUAUGUUCCUAUGGACACAUAUGUGCAUUGUAUGUGCUUGUGCAUAUUCUUGUUUGCAUAUGCCUAUUGUAGGCAUUAUUAUAGGGAUUCCAUACACAUUUGUGCUCUCUGGCAUCUGUGCACAUUCUAAUUUGUGGAUGGGUAAAUUUAGCAUAUGAAUAACUUCAUAUGUUCACAUCUCUCCACAUGGAUGUACAUGCCUUCAUGAUGUUCAUCAAUAUUAAUUCAUCAAAACAUACUUACGUUAUACAUACAUGACACAUAUAUCAGUUGAAUACCUUUUUAUACCCUGAUUCCAUUUACAUGUUUCAUAGUAUUUUAACAUAGGAAUUCUAAGAGCAUAGUAGAUAACUGCGUAUUUAUAGUUAAGUGAGAGUCCAAUACCGUUGCAGUGAACACACUGCUAAUUCAUGCUGUGCAAUGAACACACCAAAUUAGCAUACCACUUCAGUUAUUUGAUAGGGUAGCCAUCCUCAGUUGUCAAGUACGCAGGCUUGGCUCAUGUACCUCUUUAUGUUUUCUCAUCCAUUUACACUUAGACCUAGACCAGACAGUGAUAUUUGGAACUACUUGCUGGAUGCACUAAGGCAGGGGAUUCCUGUUGGCAUGGUUCUGCAUGAAUGGAACCUCAAAUGGAUUUUGUAGAUUAUCCUCAUUGUUACCAAAACAUUUUUUAUUUGAGGAAAAUGUUGCAAGUAUUUAUACUAGAUAAUAUCCACUGUGACUGUACUGGAACAAAGGUAUUCUGAUAGAGAAAAAAGAAUGUAAUCAUAAGGUCCAGGAAAGAGAGGUAUUUCAUUUAUCUUAACUGAUGAGAAUGUUCUAAUGACAGGUAUUUGCUGUAGAAGUUUCUAGGCCUAGCUUACCCUGAAAUCAAUACACUUUUGAAAGUCAGUGUCUGUUUGUGAG